GUCGGGCUGGCUGAGCCACCCGGCUCGGCCCGGUGGCCCCAGGGGCCUCCACCCGGGCCUCCGAGAAGAGCGGGGACGGGACCGCCCGGCUCGCCCGCCUCCCUCCCCAGCCCGCGCGGUCGGCCGCGGCCACCUUAGGCCUUCCCGGGCGGCGGGACGGACAGACGGACGGGCCCGCGGGGCUGAGGGGCGGCCGGGGAGGGAGCGGGCGUGCGCGGCUGGCCGGGGACGGCGCUUUUUCACCGUUAGCGUCGUUAUGUGGUUACCUGUGCGCGGCAGGGCUCCCCAGCUCCUACUCCCUGAUCCUCCUCCCCUCCUUCCUCUCUCUCUCUCUGUUUCUCACUCUCUCGCUCUCUGUGUGUCUCCCCCUCAGUCUGCCGGGCUCUCGUGGAACCUGAAGGGCGGGAGGUGGCGGCGGUGACCGGCAGGCACGUGACCACGCUCGCGCCGUCACGGCGUCCGUCCGCCUGCCUCCCUCCCGGCGCUCCACCUCUGCUAACCCGGGGCCGGUGCGCAGGCGCGCGGCCGGCGGGGCGAGCCGGCGGGCGGGGCUCGGGGCCGCCCGGGGCUGGGGUCUGGGCUGGGACGGAGCGACGGGGUCGGACCGCGCGUAGGGCCUCCGCCCUUCCUGUGCGGCCACCGCAAGUCCCGGCCGCCGGCUUCCCAGAGUGGGGCUGGCGAGCAGCGAAGUCUGCUCGGGGAAGGUCCUGGGAGUCUGGCGCUCCUGCCCAGGGACACCUGUAAAUGGCCUUCCCGUCGCCACUGGGCCGCAGCUGUGCAGAUGUAGCUCUCAACUACUUCUCCAGCACCAUGUUUGCCAUCCAGGCUGAUCAACCAUGAUGAUAAUGGGCUAAACUGACACUGAGGGCAUCUGACCAAGUGACCAGGACAGGCCCAGCAAGGUCAGUGUCUCUGCAUGUUUGUGAACAGUUGUUAGCUGAAGUUGCAGUCCAUCUGUGUUUGCAGCCUCCAGGGGUUGGUAGCAAAGGUGUAUUCUGGGAGGAGAAGUUUGUUGUAGUCAUUUUUCUAUUUCUGUAAUAAAACACCAUGACCAAGGCAACUACUGUCUUAGUUAGGGUUUUAUUACCAUUAAGAGACACCAUGAUACCUGGGCAGUACACACCUUUAAGAAG
rnacentral:lncRNA from 1 species